UCAAGUUCUAUACCCUUCCAGGUACCCUGAAGGUCCUCCAGAGGAGAAUUUAUCUCCAGCGAAGCGUUGUUGAUCCGCUAAAUCCGUCUCGAGACAUAUUCACCCAGUGCAGUGCUGAUAAAUGUAGAAUGUUGAAUCUGUGAUAAUUGUUGACGAUGGAGAGAGAGGCUGAUAGCCGCUGUCGCAGGGAGAGUGAAGCUGCUGGAAGUAACAACGGGGAGCCCGUUUGUAUCACCUGAACAACCAGACUUCAAAGCAGCUUGACCAAAUCGGAGGGUGCCUCGGUGCUUAUCGUGAAUAUUACACCGACAUGAAUUACUACAAGUACACUGGUCUGUCCAAUAUGCAUUGACGGUAUUGGGUAUGGUAUCUGCUCUGAGAAGGGAAUCGCUGGAGCCACAGUCCAACUAGACAGGCUUUCAAGAAACAGAGAGGAUCCAUCUUUCCAAGCUGAUACCUGAUGUGUACCGACAGAAUUCUCACGAGAUACCUUACGGACAACGUGUGGUGUGUACUUCAUAGUACUCCUUCGACUACUAUCUAGAAUCAAGUCGACCGAAACAAGUCAAACAACUCUGGCUUCAAACGAGCCGUCGAUUAGACAAACAAAACAUUCUCUCAUAUACUGGAGCACUCUGACAACUCACGACCUAUUCCUAACGAUUUCCACCGCUUAUACAUAUGUAGAGUGCUGAUUGGAAUGUGCUCACAAUCUCAACAAUUCAGUGCUAUAAUUAUUUGAACAAUGUGUUAGAAAUUAUUCCACUUUUCCUUCCAUAAAUGUUGUAUCCACAUAUAAUCCACAGUGCUCCGAAGUUUCAGAGUUCUCAGGGUAUCAAACAAAAUUAUUUCAAAUACA